AUGCAAGUCGAACGCAGUAGCAAUACUGAGUGGCAAACGGGUGAGUAUAAUGUGGGAAUCUACCCUUUGGCCUGGAAUAACACGAGGAAACUUGUGCUAAUACCGGAUAAGUCUUUACGGAGAAAGCUUUAUGCACCAUUGGAUGAGCCCGCACUUGAUUAGCUAGUUGGUAAGGUAAAAGCUUACCAAGGCGACAAUCAAUAGCUGAUUUGAGAGGAUGAUCAGCCACACUGGGACUGAGAUACGGCCCAGACUCC
rnacentral:rRNA from 1 species